ACAAGACUGUGGCAAAACCACGUUCUGAAGCAUCGCAGAAUUCACACAACUGAGCUCGAGAUUUAAGUUGAGUUGCGAUAUAACGGGGUAUCUUGAGUGUGGGGAGGACCAGUAGUUCAUCAGUAAACUUUUUCCAGUUUUUGCACAAAUUCAAGGGUAAGGCUCAUCCCAUUUCAGCUCCGACUCCCAGAUCUCGUGCAUAAUAUGUUUGGCGUAGAAUAUCAUC